rnacentral:rRNA from 1 species
GACGAAGGAUGCAAGCGUUAUCCGGAUUCAUUGGGUUUAAAGGGAGCGUAGGCGGCCUUAUAAGUCAGUGGUGAAAUCUCUCGGCUUAACCGAGAAAUUGCCAUUGAUACUGUAGGGCUUGAGUACAGUUGCCGUUGGCGGAAUAUGACAUGUAGUGGUGAAAUACAUAGAGAUGUCAUAGAACACCGAUUGCGAAGGCAGCUAACGAAGCUGUAACUGACGCUGAGGCUCGAAAGUGCGGGGAUCAAACAGGAUUAGAAACCCCUGUAGUCC